GACGAACCGUGCGAACGUUGUUCGGAAUCACUGGGCUUAAAGGGCGCGUAGGCGGGUGUCUAAGUCUGUGGUGAAAGCCCCCGGCUCAACCGGGGAAGUGCCGCGGAAACUGGGCACCUCGAGGGGGGUAGGGGCGCGUGGAACUUCCGGUGGAGCGGUGAAAUGCGUAGAUAUCGGAAGGAACGCCGGUGGCGAAAGCGACGCGCUGGGCCCUCUCUGACGCUGAGGCGCGAAAGCCAGGGGAGCAAACGGG
rnacentral:rRNA from 1 species